GCUGGGGUGCCUGUGCGGUGAUCUGUCGGCGGGCUGGGGUGCCUGUGCGGUGAUCUGUUUGCGGGCUGGGGUGUGAGCUGUCGGCGGUCUGGGGUGUGAUCUGUCGGCGGUCUGGGGUGUGAUCUGUCGGCGGUCUGGGGUGUGAUCUGUCAGCGGGCUGGGGUGCCUGUGCAGUGAUCUGUCGGGGGGCUGAGGUGUGAUCUGUGGGCGGGCUGGGGUGACUCUGCAGUGAUCUGUCGGCAGGCUGGGGUGUGAUCUGUCGGGCUCGGGUGUGAUCUGUCGGCGGGCUGGGGUGCCUGUGCAGUGAUCUGUCGGUGGGCUGAGGUGUGAUCUGUGGGCAGUUUGGGGUGCCUGUGCAGUGAUCUGUUGGUGGGCCGGGGUGUGAUCUGUUGGCGGUCUGUGGUGUGACCUGUCAGCGGUCUGGGGUGUGAUCUGUCAGCGGGCUGGGGUGCCUGUGCAGUGAUCUGUUGGUGGGCUGGGUGUGAUCUGUUGACGGGCUGGGGUGCCUGUGCGGUGAUCUGUCGGGGGGCUGGGGUGUGAUCUGUGGGCGGGCUGGGGUGCCUGUGCGGUGAUCUGUGGGCGGGCUGGGGUGCCUGUGAAGUCAUCUGUCGGUGGGCCGGGGUGUGAUCUGUCGGCAGGCUGUGGAGUGAUCUGUCGGUGGGCUGGCUGCCUGUGUGGUGAUCCGUCGGCGGGCUGGGGUGCCUAUGUGGUGAUCUGUCAGCAGGCUGGGGUGUGAUCUGUCUAUGGGCCAGGGUGUGAUCUGUUGGUGGGCUGCAGUGUGAUCUGUCGGGCUGGGGUGUGAUCUGUCCGCGGGCCGGGGUGGGAUCUGUUGGUGGGCUGCGGUGGGACCUGUCAGCGGGCUGGGGUGUGAUCUGUCAGCGGGCUGGGGUGUGAUCUGUGGGUGGGCUGGGGUGCCUGUGCAGUGACAGUCUGCUGUGCACUGGGGGGUUGGAAGGUCGAGGCCACUGGUGACAGAGGGGAAGCUCCUGAGAGGUUUACUUAAAAGUAAAUGAGGGAUGUUGUUUGGCCUUUGCCCAUUUUGACCAACCAGCUUAUUGUUUUUUUCUUGCAACAACAAAAUACACACAUAGCUAUAGACACAUUUUAAUUAUAGAAAGGAUUGCAGGGAAAAUACCUUUAUUAUUGUGAGUCUAAAAUUCUUUAGCCUUUAACUCACUUUUUUCCCGUUGAAAUAAUUGUUUUUUUAAUGUGGUGUUUGAAACACCUAUGUUUUUAGAAGUUGAAAUACAGCAGAAUAGAUGCUCUUUUUAUACAUACGUGUGUGUGUAGGUAUGUAUCUAUACACACGUGUGUACACUGAUAUACAUACACAUAUAUGUAAUUUUAAAAAUAGGAUCGUAUUAAACAUAUGAUCUUACAUUUUGCAUUCUUUAUUUAAUAGCACAUUCUAAGUAUUUCCUGAGGCAUUACAUAUUCUUCGAAUAAUGCCUCAAGUAUUCUGUUAUAUGGAUGAAGCAUAUUAUUCAUCUACCUAUUCCAUUCUUUUUUUUUUUUUUUUUUUUUUUUUUUUAAAGACAGACAGAGUCUUGCCCGGUCCCCCAGGCUGGAGUGUAGUGUCGUGAUCUCAGCUCACUGCAGCCUCUGCCUCCUGGGUUUGAGUGAUCCUCCCAGCUCAGCCUCCUGAAUAGCUGGGCGUGCACCACCAUGCCCAGCUAAUUUUUGUAUAGUUGUAGACACUGGGCCUUGCCAUGUUGCCCAGGCUGGUCUUGAACUCCUGGGCUCAAGAGAUCUGCCGGCCUCAGCCUCUGAAAGUGCUGGGAUUACAUGUGUGAGCCACCGCGCCUGGCCCCUCUUUUUCACAUUUUAAGUUGCUUCCAAUUUUCUUCUACUAUAAAAAAUGUGAUAAACAUAUAGUAUAUGACUCUGUCCACAUCUCUCACAUUUUCUUACAGUCGACUUUAGACAUAAUGACCUUCAUGAAGUUUUCAUAAACAUUAUCAAUAGCGUAAUAAAUCCCCCAAUACAAUGGCUGGUGCACAGCAGGCAUUCAAGAAUUGUUACCUAUAAAUAGGAAAUCAAGUAGGUGAGAGAACAGACCAAUUCUGUCACAGCAGAGGGCUGGGAAAGAUAUCUGCUCCACCUCUUCAGGGCAGGAUGUAACUGGGCAGUCUAGGGUAAGAGGGAUGAGAAGAAAUGGGGAUGCUUUUGCUCCCCAGUGCAGGUGGACCUGCCAAUACCUAGAAUGAAAUGAUUCCUUGCUUUGAACCAAACAUGCCAAUACUACCCUCUCUGACACCCUCUCAGAUGUGCCCUCUCCUUGGUCCUUAGGAUCUCCUGUAAGCACUCAUCUUCAUCAGGGGAGGUGGGGAUUCCAAUGGCAUUGAGUACACACUUGAUUCAGAGCCUUCAUGCAGCUGAAACUGUGAUCAGAGAACAAACAACAUGAAUCACCAUGUUCUCAAAGAUGAUUUAUUGGCUAUCCUCACUCAUGGGAAAAAGAAAAACGUAAAUGAAAUCAAAACAAAACAAGAUGAAAAUUGAUACAAA
rnacentral:lncRNA from 1 species